CGUGGCUUUGGUAUGGUGCGUGGCUGUGCCUCAGCUGGCCAGCUCCUGCUAGUGUUGAGUGAAACAAUUGCAAGCCAGGUCAUGGGUAGAGGUAAGGUGUGAAUAGAGAGCAGGGAUUUCUUCGAUGGUUCUGGUCCUGUAAAACUGUGCAGAGGGCAAGACUUUGGAAAAGUAAUAAUCAACUGGAUGGAUAGAUAUAAGGUCAGAAGUAGUACUACUUGUAUAGUAUUUUUGAAACACAAUUUCACAUGUGAGAAAAAUAGUUAGGCAAUACUCUGACCAAAAAGAUCUCUAUCUGUAAGAUUGGUUUGCAUAAAUACCUUAGUAUUAUUUUUUUUAGUAGUUCAAUUCAUGGUCUUAGCCAUGUGUCCCUCUGAUAUUUUCUAAAUCAAAAUACUUAAUGGAAAUAUUUUCAAAUUAAACAUAUAAGUUUUGAAAGAUCAGUAUGGUCGGCUAAAGGGGGGGUGAAUAGGCGACUAACAAAUUUUAAUCUUUUUCUUUUUCUUUUCUUGAAAGAUACAAACACUUAACCUAGGGUUUACUAAAUUCUCUAAAGAUAAUGCAACCCUAGGAUGAAGUGCAAUAGCCGAAGCAACUAUAUAACAAGAAUGUAAAGGGUAAAGAUGGAUACCACACGAGAGACGAAGAUUUCACCGGAGUUCCACCGAUUGGGGUAGGUGUACGUCUCCGUUUAGAGGAGUGUUCUACCACAAAGAUAGAGACGCCACAAAGGCUCACUCUAUUCUCCUCUCAUGGCACCACAAAGGUGAGUGAGCUCCACUAAUGGCUUCCUUGAAGGUGAAGACCGAACCUUUACAAACUUGACCGGGGCUAGCUCCACAACUCAAUUGGAGGCUCCCAAUCCAAUCCUCAAGCUCCACAAUCCCCAGGGGAAGAGCUCAAGGCAACCACUUCCGUCUAGGGCUCCCAAAUGCCCAAGAGAAAUGAAAUCCACAAGAGAAACAAGGGGAAUCAACUUUGUGACUUGGUGAAACCCUAGAUCUAGGUAUUCUUCUCCAAUCCUCAAAAAAUCAACAAGGGGGAAGCUUUAUGGAGGGAGAUCUAGUAGAAUGAAGCUUAGGGAGUUCUUGAGAGAGAGGGGUUGUUCUUUGCUUCGUGCUCGGGCAAGAAACCCGUUGGGGAUGAAGGGGUAUGUAUUUGGACUCCCUAAAAUCUAAGCGUUAUGCACUGCGAGUUCCAGGGGCGAAACUUCCGCUGGUCACCGGAAGUUCCGGGUGACCGGAAGUUCUGGCCCUGUUCUGGCUCAACUUCCGGAAAUCCACAAUGGAUUCCAGUAGCGUUGCGGACCUGGUCCGGAGGUUGGGCGGAAGUUCCGGUGUAUCGAAACCCCGCCGGAACUUCUGGACCUGGGCAGGCAAAUGCACACCAGUUAGGCUCUAGAGUUGGUUCUCUCUCACUUUUUGGGUAGGCUUUAUGUGAAUGUAAGAUGUUUGUUUGUGUAUGUGAAAAGCGAUUCACCCAUCACCUUCCCAUGUGGACUCCCUCUUAAUAGUACAGAGUUCCUACGACUCAAUAACCGAAAAAGCCGCUAAAACUCCACUACUCUUCAUUUUCCAACUUGAGGGCAUCGAAUCGUUUUGCGCCAUUUGAUAUCAAAUCUGAAAUACUUAACACACGAUUAGUCCACAACACACGUUGUCAUCACCACCAAAAUUAACUAGAAGAGAAAUGCCCUUUCAAGUUUUACUUUUGAUGCACUUUCGUCCUCGUAAUUAACAUUGCGAUUUAAACGAAAAUAAGCCGGUGAAACAGUUAGACGCUGAAGGUUGCGACUUCUUUCUGGUUGGAGUUAGUUAUUCACAAACAUCAAGCAUACAACACUCAUAAAAAUAAACAAGCACAAUUAAUUAGUGGCAAUAAGUAUUCACUUAAGUUUUUCUCUUCUCGUUGUAACUGAUUUUCAGUUUAAGUGAAUUAAAAAUGCUUAUGCACAUGCGUAUGCAAUGCUUGAUGCACAACCAAGUCUACAGUUAAAAGCAGGGUUCUCACAAGUAUGUAUAAUACCCCAAUUAUACAUAUGAGCACAAUAGAAAUACGCGUGUACACUCACCCUACCCCACCUCUGUUAGACUGAGCCGACUGAUCUUUUGAAAUUGAAGUCACCGCAGACGCCUCGUUGUUAACGAGUGCGUCACCUAAAACUAAAAACAUAGUGCCGAUUAAAUCUUAGAAUAAAUUCAGGUAAUUCUGAGCCACAUAUCAAGUCUCAGACUUGAAUCUGGGUGGGCCGAUUUCACCACAACGAACCAAACCACUCGUAGCUCAGUUCGAGAAGACUCCAAAUUUGGUGUGCAUUUGUUUCAAACUCGAAUUGAACGCAUAUACAUUAAUGACACGAGCCAUAGAAUGUUAUUUAAAACAACAAGUUUGCAACUAUCUUCAACAGAUUUCAUAAAAAUAAUUCAGGCGCAUUCCGUUUAAAGAAAAGCAAAACAUAAAUAAAAAAACUUAGAAUUGUGAUACUAUGACAAAUUGUGUUGCCUUAUUGAAUUUAACGUUCAUUUUCCUUGAAAAACAUAGAAAUCAAUAGGAUUACCAAGCAAUCACUUUUUCUAUGUUGUGCAAAACGUAUUCAUCUACGGUGAACUUUCCCAUGAAGUUCUCAAUCUUUUGGAUUUCCUAUGAAUAAAGUCCGAACCGAAUGAGCCCAAUGUGAAAAAUGCAACUCUUCUCUAAAAUUUCCUAAAUUGUCUGUUUGUCCCAUACACCUUACUAUCAUGCACAUGAGGUAAAUGCAGGGCUGGUAUAUCAACUUGGCAAGGAUAUGCAAAUUGGUCAUUGUACAUGAAUGCUAAAAACAAGUGUUACAACUUGGCACGUUUGAGCACCCGAUCAAAAAUACAUACGGUUGGUCCAAAGGAUGAUGUGGCAUGCCCACGUGGACUAAGUGUACCUAGCCAUGCCAUUAAAUCUUGCAAAUAGCUCCCUCCUUCUUUUAUGCUCUCACCAUCGACCCCAUAAUCCUGAAUUUCCUUGUAUGCAUCCAUUCUUGCCAUACUUCUGCCACACAAUCUAAUCCUCGAUUAGGUGCUGCUACUUUAGUCUGCUGUCAGACAUCUGCAUGUAGGUCGGCGGAGGCACCACGCCAUCGAUGCCGUGAAGGAAUCCGCCAUGCCGCUGCACUGCUGCAGAGCCCCAGGCGGCCAACCUGCUCCCACUGCCGGAGAACACCUGUGCGUUCGUCGUGGCCGUCGCUGGUUGUACAUGCCGUUUAGAACAAUCAUGUUGAGGCUGCCGCACCGUUUGCUGGCUCGCAAGCGCGCUCGCCAACUCGACCAACGCCGUCUCCCAGUCUACCGCCCACCAGGGGUCAAACAGUUCAGUUGCCGGUGCUGAUCAGGCUGGGUAGUUGCCAUCGAAAAGCGCCAGCGCUAGCGCCUGCUGCUGCUUGUGCUCUUCCCCGGACAGUAGCCCCAAGCCCGGCGGAGCCCGUCUUCCCCAAGUCCGGUGAGAUGCUCUGCCACGAGCUUUGCCGACGAUGCUGACCGCCACGGCCCUCCCCUCUCAACUUAAUUCAAGAUAGACCACAUACUCCACCGGCUCCUGGAGAGAAGGGGAAGGGAGGCGACGGUGCAGGCGGGCGCGGCGGUGGGGGCAUCGGGCCACGGCUGCCACGCAGCGGAUCUGCACGGCCGCCGCUACCUCCGGUAGGAGGGAGGUCCUCGCAACGCCGGUGCGCGGGUCAUGGAGGGGAUGUACGUCCGCAGUCUGGAGUGUGCCAUUAGCGUCCUGUCAGCCAUCGUUUUCGUCCACGUCAGCGUCGAAAUAUACGAAUUCUUAGUAUUGACCUCGCGCGCUCAUACGUGCCAAGUUGUAACACUGGAAUUUAGCAUUUUGCAAGUACGAUGACUAAUUUGCACAUGAGCGCCAAGUUAAUAGACUGAUGGUGCAUUCACCUCUAUGCACAUCCACAUCAAAAUAUUACUGGGAUUUCGCCAAACACCAUAUGUGCAGCGAGGAGCUCACGAUCAGGGAGGUGCCAGCGUCGACAAAAGAGCACGUGGUUGUCAGCUGCCUGCAACUACUCUAGCGAUGAUGACAACGGACUAAUCAAAGUGCCACAACACUCACAAAGCUUCGGCAUGGCAGACUUCCGCAUACAUUUUGUAGUGUUUGGUUGCAGAGCGAGGUAAAAUGGAACGGAACGACUCUAUUUCUCUAGCAAUGGUAUGUAACAGAAUGGUUCUAUUUUUGUAUAUUUCAUAAACGAAACACUUGGACUUGGAACCAUGGUUUCACUUGGAACCAACUAAUUUACAUUUCCGAAUGAGAUGGUUAGACAUAUUGGAGAAAUGUUUAGAAACCAAACACAAAAAACACCUCCAAAACUAAAACCAUUCCAUUAUACUGUAUCUCACUUCAUUCGCUCUUGUGUGUACAUCAUGUAACUAGGCGCGUUCACCGGCACGGCAGGAGGCCAGAAGUAGGUGUGCAGAGUUUACCUUUCUCUUGGGGAAAUCUUUGGCAGCCGCUUUUUAGAAACCAAUCGUCGUGCGGUGAAAAAGAAUGCGAAACAGCAAAAUCUCUUGGAUCAUGUCACACGCCAAACUGCCACACGCGUACAGAGGAACACGUAUAGCCCGCAGGUUUUGGUCAUGCACCGAUGGGCAUCAGGGAUCUGUCGCCGCGUCUAGACUAGGGUUGUGUUUGUUUGGGCUCCUAGGAGCAGCUCCAACAGCUUCUGGGCCGUAGAAGCUGGAGCCCAAACAAACAACAUGUUUUUGGCCAGCUUCUUGUAGCCGCUGAAACGAAGCGCUUCUGAAAAAUGCACUGCGAGGACGAAGCUGCGAAAGGGACGCUUCUUCCAGCGGCUGCAGCUCCAAACUGUCAUUUUUACCGGUUUACCCUCCCACCAAACUCCAUACUACAAACAAAUUGCCACUGAACGGUUCGUUUUAUUUCAGUCUCUCCUCCGAGCGCAUCGCAUUGAUCCCUUCGUUCUCCCCACGACCACACCCCCAUCUGACGCCGCCGUCGCCCUGUUCUCUGGACGCCACCAGUGGAUGCGGGCCGCCGCCGGAUCUCCGGCGACUGGCUCGGGCGACCUCCUCUGGACUGAGCCGCGUCUCUCCACUGGCCGGAACCGCCACCGCCGUUGGAUCCGGGCCGCCGCCGGAUCUCCAGCGAUUGGCUCCGCCGCCCUUCUCUGGAAGGAGCCGCGCCACUCCUCUGGCUGGUUCCGCCUUAAGAUCAGGAGAGCUCAACCUCUGCCGCCUUUCUGGCUUAGCUGCUGCCGCGAGCGGCCUGCGCCGGCCAUUGCUUCGUUUGUGGCCUCGAGCGCCCCGCGUUGGCCCCCGACGCCUCUCCCACCUUUGGCCCCUACCGCCGCUACAUCCUUUGGCCUCCGACGCCAUGCGCCCAUGCCCAUCCUCUUUGAUGCCAGCCUGGACCUCCUCCUUUCCCCGUUGGCAUCUACUUCUUUCCCAUACUCACUGUACAUGUGUGGAUGCGAAUCACUGUGUGCGUAUGCAUGAAAGUUUUAAAACUUUGUGAAUUAGCUCACGGUACUAUGUAUUAGUGUAUGCAUAUGCGGCAAAAAUCUGUUAAAAUGGCACAAUCAGCACUUAUACCCAAUCUACAGUACUACAGGGUCAUUUAGGUCAUUCCAACAUAUUCCAGCUGCAGCUGCAGUCGCACCAGCUGCCGAAACAAACAGACAUCUAACAACUCCAACCUUCCAACCGCAGCUGACAGUCAUAGCUGAUUCUGGGAGCUGCAGCUGUGAAAUUUCAGCCCAAACAAACGCAACCUAGAAAGGGUCGUGCUUUAGGAUCCGUAUAGCCCGGGAGUGUCUCUAAACCGAACAGUGAGUUCCAUUCCAGUGUACCGAAUUUGUCUAUUCCUUUUCUCUUUAACUGAACCCCUGUUUGCGUUAUUUCAAGCAAAGGAAAUGGACAACACACACCGACCAGCCAUUGACCCCUGGCCCAACGGCUACACAGUGACUUGAUUUUGUGUGUUCCAUUGUCGGAAGCACUUUGCAUAUGAUUUUUUUAGAGAUUUCGUCAUUCUAAUAAUAGUGUCGCCGGCAGCCAUACGGCCAUACAGGUUUAGGGCCUUUUGGUUGAUCUGUGAUACUUCCUCCAUUUCAUAAAGGUUGACGUAUUUUGUUUCGACAAGGAUUUGUUCAAUGAAAACUCUAUUCAUAUUUGUUUUUCCAUGCAUGAAAUUUAUAUCAAUGAAUUCGUCUUUAAAAAUUCUUGUUAAUGAUCAUGGUUUCGUAUCAUAUAACUUACAUAUUAAUAGAGUAAUUUUUGAUCAAAUAAUUGUCUUAACGAAACGAAAUACGCCGACCUUUAUGAAAUAGAGGGAGUGAUUAAUAAAAGCAAGGGAAUAACAACGGAAUCAGAUACCCUACAGGCCUACUACACCAUGGAUUUCCAUGAUAUGUCAAAACACCGUAAUUCUACAGGUGCCUUUUGACGUUGCUCAGUACAGAGAGAGAGAGAGACGAGGCUUCAGCUUAUUUUGAGGUCCAAUGGGAAUUUGGCAAGGAUUCAGCUGAGUACUUUGAAAUAGUAGCCUCUUUGGAAGCGGCAUCGGAUCCGGAUAAGCUUCUCGCGUGGUUGAUUCCUUGCGAGCUGGGAAAGGACUCUUCUGACACCUGCGCUUCAGCGCCUGUUUGCCCCAGAGGAUCAUCGCGUAUCCCAUUCUGAAAAGAAGAGCACCCGCGCGUGAAAGCGAUGGACGGUGUGGAUCCGAAAGCACGAUGCGAUAGACGGCGAGGAUGAGGAGAGCCAUUACUGUACGUGUCGUUUUCUGGGCAAGGGAGGGAAGGCAGGCUUUCACUGCUGCUUUUUGAUCGGCGCAGGGUCUUUCUAUCUUCUUGCCCGUUCCGAGAAGGACGAAUUUCUUGGUGGACGCAACGUGCCAGAUCGCUUGGACGAUCGCGAAGCAGCGCACACGGCGUGUUUUUGGCCGACGAUAGGAUUGCAUCAGUUCGUUGUUGUGCACAGCACGUACAAUAUAGAUCGUCUACUGUUUUCCAGGGGCUGAUAAAAAUUUGAUUUUAUCCUCUCUGGGUGUCCGUCCGGUCAUGCCUGCCCAUCAUUCUACGCCAUACCCUAGUCUACCGUUACGCGAUGAAAGUUCGCGUCGAUUCUUGCCUUGCCAUCAUGUUUAGUUCAAGCGAGGCAAGGUAUGCAGAGUAGUGGUAAUGUGUUUUUAGUUGUCUAUGCAAAGUUUAAUCAUAUUUUCGUGUGUAUCCAAGGAUUUGCUCGCCCACACAGAAGACAGGACAUGUUCAAUGGCGAGGAGCAGUAUUUUCUCAUGGUCCUCCGAUGCUAAUUAAAUACGGUACUUCCUCGGUCCACAAAGAAUGUCUCAAUUUUGACUAAAUUUGAAUGCAUUUAUAUACUAAGUUAUGUCUAGAUACAUUCAAAUUUUAACAAUGUUGGACGGAGGGAAUAGGUUAUUUAACUUAUUCCAUAGAGUGUUAUAUAAAUUUCCAUGUCUUCUAAGUUCAAUAAAAGCUCCCUUUAUUAAAAAAAAUAUAUAUAAAUUGAAAUUUAAUUAAAAACUGUGUUCGAUAAAUGUGUUUGGUACAAUGGGAAAAAAUAUUCUCUUGAGCAUGAAGAUCAUCGUUGAUGAAGGGAAUGCCAAAUUCUCUAUCUUGGUUUGUUCAUGGCUCAACAAACAAAAUCAUAUGUAUGACAUCAAUACAAUGGUUGACAAUAUAAUGAUAUUUGUUGCGCUCCUUUUUAUUACCACAGCAUGACUCGUACAUGCCAACAACAAGACAUGAAUAACGCGAAAACUUUCUUGCUAUCGAGAUUGUUCAGCACCUUUGGAAUUUUGUUGCGUGUUAAGGGCCUGUUUUGUUGGAGGAUUGAGUGCCAUGCCUGAAAAAAAGAUGUGCAUGUAUGGAACUUUAUGUGUAGGUCUUUCUUGUCUGGUCAGGCUAGCCUUGGUUAGAUGUGUUUGUUCGAGCGCCUGGCCUGGUGCUGUCUCAAGCAAGUAACAUUCUCAAGCAAGUAAUAUUAUGCGUUGAUUGCUCAUGUCCCUAUUGUUUUUACUUAAAAAAUAUAUGAUGUGACUGCUAGGAUUUUGAUUACUACCAGGCACCAGCUGUAGCAUGCCCAGGCUUGAGAAAUCGGAGGCCUGCCGUGUGCCUGGCAGGCUAAUCACACUGUGUAUGUGGUCAGGCCAGGGAAGCGUAUUUUUUCACAGGCACCAAGCAAACAACUUUCUGCUACUCCCGGGCACAUCUCCGGCCAGGCGUGGCUAUGCCAUCCAAACAGGCUCUAAAUACAUUUUUCACCUCAAAAUUGUGGACCCGGUCCAAAGUAAAUUCCAAUCUAGUCAAACUUCGUCUAAAUUCAAUGAAAAAUGUUUGGAACAAUUCAGAAAAAUUGUCGUGUACCGAAAUUUAACAAUGAACCCUGCGCCCCGGCAUGCCAUUCAACAAUGGCUCUCCGAGUCGUCUAGAUCUAGAGUUGAUAUUUCGGAAGCAACUAAUUGACAGAGUUCGUCUAAGUUCGUUCGUCUAUUCUUUUUUCUUUUGAGAUCAGAUCCGUCUUUUUUUUAGCGAAACACAAGGCCCUAUUCAUCUUUUUUGAGAAUACGGCCCUAUUCAUCUAGAGUUGAUUUCUGCAAGUUCAUGCCUUUCUGGGUCCGUGGCAGCCAGGCCCCCAGUGGCCCAGUCUAUCAAAUCGAGCAGAUCCAUCGAGUCGCUGAAGGCAAAAAUACCUUUGGUAGUCACGGGGCAACAAACUAAACUUGGCCCAGAUGUCGUUGUACAGCACUACCACAGUUUUUUUUUAGGGGUACCACGGGUAUUUCAUCAAAUCAGUGGUUGACGAACAGUAAACUGCAAAUUAACCCCGUGGGCCGUAACGAACAAGAGUUACUCUCAACCACCAGAUGCAGAAGCAAUGAACAAGAGCAUCCGAGCACGCCGCUAAUCAGAACAACUGAUAGUACUCAUGUUCAUCAGAAGUUGAGAACCGAGCGAUUUGUGUAAAGAAUAGUGCUGCUAGCAAACAACUCGCAAUUUAUCCCAUGUUAUAAAGCAAACCUUAACUAGUUCACCUGCAUGGUAACUUCAUUUUCUUCUUCAAGAACCGAAUGGCCAAUAUGACAGAUGAGAUCAUGAUCAUGAGUAUGGCCAACAUUGGCUGUCAUAAGCGCUCGAGAUCAUGAGUACUACUGACCAGCAGUAUGAAAGACUUUCUGCAUACAUCCAGGCACCAAAUCAAAGUACUACGGCGUAUCAAGUAUGAACCACGAUCAACCAACCACAGAAGCAUAUACGAUGCAAAUCCUAACACAAACCGCCUACGAUAUAUCCAAAGAAUGAACCCAAGCAACCAACAAAUCCAUGUAAAAAUUUCUCAGCAGGCAUCAGCGAGUCACCACGGACACACUCCCAAUGAACCCGGCGCCCCAGCAUGCCAUUGCCCGCUCGCUCUCUCAACUCUCAAGUCUCAACUCUCACCACAGGAGCAUCAUCAUCACACCACCGGCAGCAGCAACCGCCAAGUAACCACCACCGGCGCCUUGCGACGCGGCGCUCUUCUCCCCGGCCUUGGCCUUAGCACUGGCCGCCUUCCCGGACGCCGGGCUCAGAGCAGCAUCGUCAUCGGCCUUGGCAUCCACGGGCGCCGGCGCCGGGGCCGGCGCCAGCGGCGGGUCGCUCUUGAAGAUCUGCAUGGGCAGGAGCACCUUGUCGACCUCGUAAACCGCCACGGGGCGGGUCGAGUAGACGCUGCUGCUGAUCUUGGGGUUGGACCACAUGGACUUGACACGGAUGCUGCCCAUGUUGUCGGUGAGGUUGAGCGUGUACUGGGAGCCGGCGAACGUGGGCACCGGGUUGAGGCUGCUCAGCUUGUUGAACUCCGCCAGGGAAUAGUACUUGGGCAGCGCGUGGUACAGCACCAGGGACUUGAGCUCUUCGCCCGUGAGGUUGGCGAACGUCGUGGCACGGAGAGACGAGAAGGCCGAGUCUUUGGGGACGAAGAUGGUGAUCCCUUCGGCGCUCUCCUUGGUGUCGUUCGCCUUGCUCUGGAAGGUCUUGAGGACGUCCGUCUUCUCCAGGUAGUCGAGGAAGGUGUGGAAUGGCCCGGCCACGCUCAGGAGGUCCGCGAGGUUCACGAUGUGUGGGGAUGGCGCUGGCGCUGGGGAUGGCGGGAGGAUGUCGGCUGGUGGUGCUGGCGGGCUCUUGUCCUUCGCCUUCUGGGCGAGUGCUGGAGUGGAGGAGAGGAUGAUCAUGGCGGCGGCUACCAUGGCCGCCGUGAAGAGGCCUGCUCUGAACUCCAUCCUGAUGCUGCUUCUCUGACUGACACCGCCUUCUCUUCUUCCCCUGAGAUCACGCAAAAACAGAGAAGCGUUAAGCACUGUUGUUUUCUUCCUUUUUCGCGCAUUUCGGAUGAGUCUGAAUUACAGAAUUACUGGCAGUACGAUGUACAGUCUGCAAAAUAUACAUCGACUAGAUUUACUGAAUUUACUGGUUUCAGUUCCUGGUCUGAAUGCAAGAACAGUACUGUAACUUGCUGCUCAACUGAUUUCUGCAAUUUCGGAUAUACUGAUGGAGUUGGGCAAUUGGCACUCAGUAACAUUUCAAGAAACUUUCUUGCUUCUCGAUCUGAAAGGCUUAGAUGUCUAGAACUUGAAAGUACUAGUAUGAAGAUUUCAGUUUUGAGUACAAGUGACCAGAAUUUUGGAACUAAUUACUGCUCCUUUCCCUAUCACCAAGAAAGACAAAGAUAGACGGCGAAAGGAAAACCAGUUCAGACCGGAUCUAGCAGAAUUGACCGACAUUAUAGAACUGUAAAGUUUCUACCUACCAAAUCAUCAAACACAUGACAUGAACUAUACACGAACUAAAUGACAGUAGUACUCCUAGUCUCCUACAUUCUCCAGAUCUCUGCACCAUGGAAGAACCCAAAGCUUAAGCAAAUGCCGAGAACCCAAGAAAAACACCCAUAUUUGCUUCAGCUCAAGAGCUGGGACCAAAAUCACACACAACAUUUGCUUCAGCUCAAAGGAAAAGAAAAGACACAGAAGUACAUGAAGAAAGAUCUGCUCUUCCUUGGGCCAAGAACCGCGAGAACAGAUCCAAAUGCAGCGCUGUAAUUGAGCUAACGGGAGAACCGCCUCUAAUUGCAACUCAACACAUGGAGACCCCAAAAAGGGUAAGGAAAUUCGAGCAUUUCCGCCAUGGCGCUGCUGGAUUGGAUUGAGAUGUGAAAGAAAGGUCGAGGAGAACUGACCUGAGCAGCGCAGAGCAGGGAGGGUAGUGAAGGCAGCAGGAACAGGAUGAGGUAGGAGGUGUGUGGGGAUGAGUUAUGUGGGAGUCUCUGUGUGUGUGUUGUUGUAUAAAAGGUGGUGUAUGGGGAAGAGGGAGUAAAAGACAAUGACAUCAUGGGUGGCAGCUGUUGAUGAGAUAAAUAAGAGAGAGAAGUGGCCAAAGAUGCACGGCGCAAUAAAGCUUAGCCAGCCAGACCUCUGUUGUUUUCUGAAACAGAAACUUACGUUUUUCUUUUGAUUAGUAGGAAAAUUAGCAUCCGAUUUCUCGUGGCUACAGCUAGUUAUGCAAUGCUGCAAGCAAGGUUGUUUCUGGCUUUUCUCAUCAAGUUUGUUUGCACUGAUAUUUGUUAGGAAUAAUAAUUCUUAAGUUGUUAUACUUACUAUAUGGGUUCAUGUACUUUAUACAGUGUAAUCUUUCACUAAAUUAUUUCCCUUUUUCUUUCAAAAGCACAAGGAGCAACUCUUUUGUAUGAUUGUCUUCAUGUUCGCUUGGGCAUAAAUCAUAAAAGCAAAUGGGUUAAAAUGUAGUGAUCCGCCAACAAAUAAAAAGGCGAGCUUCAGUUGCAAAGAUGAGCAAUGCAACUAACCGCACACGAGUUGAUGUGGUGUACUGUGUACCGACAGUGCGUUUAGGACUUUGGGGGUGUUUCAACGAUGGUAAAAAGAAAUCUACGUGCUCACAUAAUUAGUUUAGACUUGACUAAGCACUGAACUCACUAAGAAACAUUUAUGAGCUUCAAAUUUUUCUCUUCUGUAGUACAGAAAAGGAUUUCCCCAAGUUUCAGAAGAGUUUGCAAAAAAAAAAAAAAGUUUCAGAAGAAGGAAAAAAAAAAGUCACCCGCUUUGACAGUUUCACCCUCCCAGAGGCACUAUCUGAACACUUUUCUAUUGCUGGGAGAAUCCGAAUAUCUCCAUGACACAACGUAACAAACACAUGCCACCUGCCAAUCCUGGAGAGCUUACACGGCACCAUAUUUUAUUUUUUGAAAAGAAAAACUGAGACGAGAAGCAGAAGCUUGUUGUGCCGGCGUUUUCUAAGCCUUCGGUCCAGAGAAUUUUCGUCAGAUGUGACGAAGCUCUUGAUUAGAAGCUUCAGUUGGCCGAAGACAGCACAUGCUUACAGUCGGCACAUACACUGGUGUUAGUACUGUAACAACUUCUUUUCUCUCGAUAAAAAAUACUGUAACCGCUUUUGCAGUAACAUAUACUCCAAAUCUCUGCGAAAGAAAAAGGAUAUAUACACAUGCAAGAUUCACAUGUGCUCCUCCAAGUCCUGUUCCUUUUUCUUACUCUUUUCGCGGCUCACAUGGUACUGCAGCAUGCUGGUUGGUCUGAACAUAGAACACCCCGGUCGGUCGAGCUGCCGUGUUACGUGCAAUAAUUUGCAGAGGAAGCACGAGGUAAGUCCGCUAAUUUUUUUAAUGAACGUGUAGAUGUGGCGUGGUUACGCGAGCUCGCAGCGGGGGAGGACUGGUGAUAUGACGCGCGGAGUGUCGGCGGGGCCGCCGUUUUGGCUGGGCUGGGGCAGCUUCCGUGGAAGAAAGUUGCAGAAUGGAAGUUCUAGCUUUUCUGGCAGUAGGUGAGAGGGCUUGGUCAUGAGAGGGGGAGUAAUCACGGAGUUCUCGAGCUGUCAUCCCGUGCACUUGAAACGUAUGAAAGGUCUGCUGGGAAUGUGUUCAUAAUUUCAUAUUCAUUGUAUAGAAAAAUUAGCAUUAGAUUCGUUGUUAUAAGGGUACUCUGUAGUACAGUAGUAGGAGUAUAGUACAUCUUAGUUUGAUGAUGUAAAUUGAUUACCGAAGACACGUACAAUAUCUCUGCUCCUAAAUAUUAGAAGUCGUAAUUUUGUCCCAGGUCAAAUUUUACUUUUUAAAGUUUGAUCAAGUUUAUAUAAAAACUUAUCAACAUAUAUAACUUAAUUUAGUUUUAUUAAUUCUGCCAUAAUAUAUAUUGUCAUAGAGUAGUCAUUUGAUGAUGUUGUGGAUCUUAGUAGUUUUUUCUAUAAACUUAGUCAACUUAGAAAUGUUUAAAUUAGAACAAAUAUAUGGCUUUCAUAUUUAGAAACAAAGGAAGUAGUACUGUCCAACUGCGAAGCGGUUCAUGAAACGCAGGAUUUUCCUCACACAAACAUCACCAUAUCAUAUUACAUGAUCACUCAUCAUUUUAGUUUCCUUCCUCUCGAAGAAUACGGAGGCUUGGAGAGCAGAGACCUUUUUGGGCACAGUAUCCGUGGCUUUACCUCCCUGAUCGACCUGGAAAAAGAACGCUUGCUCUUCCCUAUGCAUUGCUUGCUUUCAGUCGGUGCCACGAGAAGAUCAGCUCCCCUGUCGAAUUCAUACUCCUGCUGCACUACUAGUCUCCAGACGCGGCCAUCUUUCAUACGCAAAAAGUGUACGUACGUAUGUCAAUUCCAGAAGCUCGUGUUGGUUGUGUUGUCAGUACUGCAUUCUGCUGUAUAGCUUUCAAGAUUAGAAUACGUUUUCUGUUCUGGUGCCUGAUCCCAUUGUAUGAUCACCUUGAUUAUGCGCCACGAGACGUCCCUAAUGAUGGUUCGUUAACGGCCAAUGACUCGACAACAACCAAAUCACGCGCAGAAAUGAGACGUCGAUCCGGCAGUGGAACAAUUGACAGUAAGGAAGUUCCUGCACGGGGACGUGAUACCGACACGAUGCCCGCCGCUCCAUGAAGAAGUAGCAGAAGGAGAUUCCGGCUAUAGCAUAAGUACAGAUUUCUCUCUGCCAUGUGACCUUGUCAAUUGCCACGACACGCCGUUGUUCGAUUCGCUGAGAGCGGAGAUUCGGGACGCCACGGCGACGCGCAGUGAGCACCGACAUGUAUUCUAUUUCUGCCGCUAGUUUCAGUGUAUGCAAUAGUCCAGGUGGAUUUGCCUGUUAACCUCAGUUUGUAGUACUGUAGUAUUCCUUUUAUAAACUUACUGACAAUUUGUCGUGAACGAAAUCUACGGCCUGGCUACUUUUUUCCGGAAAAAAAACACUGACAGUAGUUUUUCUUCGUGAUUCGUACUAGACUCUCUCUUCUUUUCUUUUCUUUUUUGAAAGAAGGACGUCCACAACCGAAGCAAAACCUCAAGCCAAUAGAAUUGUCAGAAAUGACCUCCUCCCAAACGAAAUGACAAAAGUGGCCUAGCGGAACGUCCCGAAGGCGCGACGUCGCGCUUCUUGCCAAUAACAUUGGUGGAAGGUACUUAACUCCAAUUGCAUUGGAGGAAGGGCUUUAAAUCCAAUUGCAUUGGAAGAAGCCCUAUGCAUGGACACUUUAGGACAUCGGGCGGGCCCGGUUGAUUUUCUUUUUCGUUUUCUUCUUAUGUUUACUGGUUCUGAUAUUUGUAAAAUUUAUUUGAAGAUCCAAACAACUCCAAUCUUUAUGAAAUUUUGAUGAUAAGUUUAAAAACGUUAUUAUCCACUUACAGCAAAAGUUUCAAUUAUUUUGGAGCAAAUUUGAAUCUGUGAUUUAUUUGAAUUCAAAACUUGUUUAAUUCAAAGUUGCUCCAAAAUAAUCAAAAAAUUUAUUGUACGUGGGUAACACCAUUUGAAACUUACCUUCAAAAUUCUGUGUAGAUCGGAGUUCGUUUGAAUCUUCAAAUAAAAAUUUACAAAUAUCAAAAGAAGUAGGUGUAAGAAAAAAAAAGGUAGAACAAUUGGAUUUAAGUACCUUCCUCCAAUACCAUUGGCAAGAAGUGCGACGUAGCGCUUUCCGGGCGUUCCGGCAGGCCACUUUUUUCAUUUCGUUCGGAAGUGGACCAUUCCUGGCAUUUUCGUUGGCAGGAGGGCCAAUGGUGCAAAAUUUCUCCACAACCUAUAUGCAUCGGUUGAUGCACAUAGCUAAGAUAGAUUCCGCUGAUGCGAGCGUUUGUUCCAAGAACCGAGAAUUCAUAAGAUUUGGCGUUUGUUUGCUAUGUCAAAUAAUGUCAUGGUUGGUUUUCGCACACAUCUCUGGGAUCUCUUACAGUGUUACUUAUAAGUUGACUGGUUUUAUAUUUCUUAAAUCGAACACUCUAAAAGUACUGGAACUUCAAAUUUGUAUUUUAUAAUGCGCAAGAAGCAACAAUGUUUCGUACGGCCGUACCGAAAACAGCUUUAUUGUUGAUGAACAUGGUGCGUCAAACGCAGUAAACGAACAUCUAGCUAAAAAAGAGAUCUACGCAGAGGUUGUUAUAUACUCCGAGCGAGUUCGUUCGAUUUCUGUAAUUAAUUAAAGCUUGAGUCCACGGAAUCAUACUCCUUUAGCACAUAGCUGUGUGUGAAAAUUUUAACUUUACAUACAGAGAGUAUAACCAGUAGUUUUACUGCACCAAGCUCUGCUCUGCCGUUGCCAAGCAAGCAGCCGACAGACGGAAGCAGGGCACCAUGCGUUUCUUCUUCUUCUUCUUUCUCGUCGUAAUCCCGAUGAAUUUCGUCGAAUUUGCUGGAUCAGAUCAGAUCCUGGACGGGAUGAGGGGCGUGGCAUUGGAAAGGUACGCGGCGGCAGCUGCCACGCCGCUCCCCAGCUUCACCGGGUACCCGACGUCCUUGAGCACCAUCUCCACCCCGCUCAGGCAUCCCAGCAGUUGCAGCUGCAGCCCAAAACGCAAAAAAUCAAAGUUAAUCACACAUUUGAUGAUCGCUACUGCACAUCGCAGUACUGCAACUGAUAUUAGCAGCAGCUGUGAGUGAGUCUGUGACAAAGUGAUGAAGAUUUUGUGUAUACCUCGUUGAGGUUGCCGAGGUGGCCGAUCCUGAAGACCUUCCCCGCGACCUUGUUGAGGCCGAGUCCCAGGCUGAGGUUGUACCGCUUCCAGGCGUGCUUGACGAUCUCGGCGCUGUCGAUGUAGGGCGGCACCACGACGGCGGUCACCGUGUCGCUGAAGUUCUCCUCCUUCUGCGUGCAGUUCUUGAGCCCCCACGCCUCCACAGCCAUCCUACAAUCCAAGACACGCAUCAUUCAAUAAUUCUUCAAAGAUAAGAUCUUUGUCAGUGAAAUUUCCGCAGGGAAUACACGUACCUUGUGGCGGUGCCGAGGCGGGUGUGCCUCUUGAUGACGUUGUCGAGGCCUUCCUCGAAGAUGAGGUCGAGCCCGGCGCGGAGGCCGUAGAGGAGCUGGAUUGAAGGCGUGUAAGGCCAGUAUGUGCCCAUCUUGUAGAACUUGAGGUAGUCCUUCCAGUCGAAGAAGACCCUGACGGACUUGGCCGUCUUGCUUGCCUCGAGCGCCCUCGGGCUGGCGCACACGAUCCCCAGCCCCGUCGGCAGCGACAGCGCCUUCUGCGACCCCGUCAGCGCCACGUCCACCCCCCACUCGUCCAUGCGGAAGUCCAGCGCGCAGAUCGACGACACCCCGUCCACCAGCAGCAGCGCCGGGUGCCUGUACGCAUCUGCCCCCCCAAUCCCGUCCACAUACAUCAAACAAGAUUCAUCCAAAGAAGAUCGAUUGAUUGGGGAUUAGUGGGGAAUUGACGGACCGAGGAGCUUGCGGACGGCGUGGAGGUCGUUGGUGACGCCGGUGGCGGUCUCGUUGUGGACGAUGCAGACGGCCUUAAUGGUGUGCGCCGCGUCCUGGCUGAGCUUGGUCUCUAGGGCGCCGAGGUCGGCGCCAUGGCCCCAGUCGCUCUCGACGACGUCGACCUGGAAGUUGAGGCGCUGCUGCUGGUCGAUCCAGAGGAGG
rnacentral:lncRNA from 1 species